CCGUGACUAUCUCUUUAUCAUAGAAGGGUCUUUGCAGGAAGCCUCUGCAGCCUCCCCCAAGGAUAAGCCUUAGAGAAUCACCUUGCUGGAGUAGAGAGAUGAUUCCUCUGGGCCCCUUCAUGACAAGUAAGAGGAGAAAGGAAGGGACAGGGAAAGAAAGAGAGAGAAAGCCAGUUUGUCAACGGAUCCCAGGAGCUCCCAGAUUCUCCCAGCCAGUAGUCAAGGAAUUGAAGACACAAGCAGGUACUGACUGUCUGAACCGCAGAGUUCCACUGGGGAUGAUAAGCCCUCGGACAGCAGCAGUCCUGCCUUCUGCUCCCACCUCCUUCGCUAUGCCCGAGAGGACGCUGAGCCCAGGAGACAAUCGAUUGGUCACUACCCGAAAAAUCUCUGAAAGUGAGUUCUUGCAAUAACUCCCCAGACAGCUCUGACCAGUGCUGAAGAUCUUGGCACAAGGGAAAUAAAGCACACACGGCGUGUCCA
rnacentral:lncRNA from 1 species